rnacentral:rRNA from 1 species
AUUGAACGCUGGCGGAAUGCUUUACACAUGCAAGUCGAACGGCAGCACGGGGGCAACCCUGGUGGCGAGUGGCGAACGGGUGAGUAAUACAUCGGAACGUGCCCAGUCGUGGGGGAUAACGUAGCGAAAGCUACGCUAAUACCGCAUACGAUCUGUGGAUGAAAGCGGGGGAUCGCAAGACCUCGCGCGAUUGGAGCGGCCGAUGGCAGAUUAGGUAGUUGGGGGGUAAAGGCGUCACCAAGCCGACGAUCUGUAGCUGGUCUGAGAGGACGACCAGCCACACUGGGACUGAGACACGGCCCAGACUCCUACGGGAGGCAGCAGUGGGGAAUUUUGGACAAUGGGCGCAAG